rnacentral:rRNA from 1 species
AGAACUCCUUCGGGAGUGAUGCCUGUGGAACGAGCGGCGGACGGGUGAGUAACACGUGGGCAACCUGCCUGUAAGACUGGGAUAACCCCGGGAAACCGGGGCUAAUACCGGAUAACACUUUUUGGUACAUGCCAAGAAGUUGAAAGGCGGCCUUUUUGGCUGUCACUUACAGAUGGGCCCGCGGCGCAUUAGCUAGUUGGUAGGGUAACGGCCUACCAAGGCAACGAUGCGUAGCCGACCUGAGAGGGUGAUCGGCCACACUGGGACUGAGACACGGCCCAGACUCCUACGGGAGGCAGCAGUAGGGAAUCUUCCGCAAUGGACGAAAGUCUGACGGAGCAACGCCGCGUGAGUGAUGAAGGUUUUCGGAGUCUGWAAAACAUCUUUGUUGUGGAUAGGGAAGAACAACCCACGUCCSCCGUAWMAAAWAGAGGCCCGSCUMCCUUGRCGCGUGUMCCUAAAACCACARAAASCCCCGCGYUUUAWCUCWCGUGCCCACSCAGCCGGCGGAUAAUAACGUGRGGGGGCCAAGCUKUUGUCCGGGAAUUUAUUGGGGCGUAAAAGCGCGCGCCAGGCCGGUCCUUUUAAGUUYUGAUGUGAAAGCCCACGGCUUCAACCCGUGGAUGGCCAUUGGAAASUGGAGGACUUGAGUACAGAAGAGGAGAGUGGAAUUUCCACGUGUAGCGGUGAAAUGCGUAGAGAUGUGGAGGAACACCAGUGGCGAAGGCGACUCUSUGGUCUGUAACUGACGCUGAGGUGCGAAAGCGUGGGGAGCGAACAGGAUUAGAUACCCUGGUAGUCCACGCCGUAAACGUUGAGUGCUAGGUGUUAGGGGGUUUCCGCCCCUUAGUGCUGAAGUUAACGCAUUAAGCACUCCGCCUGGGGGAGUACGGCCGCAAGGCUGAAACUCAMAAGAAUUGACUGGGGGCCCGCMCMAGCGGGKGGAGCAUGGKGGUUUAAUUUYRAARCAACGCCGAAGAAGACMUUACCCAAGGUCUUGGACAGUCCUCUGACACCCCUAGAGAUAGGGCAUUCCCUUCGGGGACAGAGUGACAGGUGGUGCAUGGUUGUCGUCAGCUCGUGUCGUGAGAUGUUGGGUUAAGUCCCGCAACGAGCGCAACCCUUGAUCUUAGUUGCCAGCAUUGAGUUGGGCACUCUAAGGUGACUGCCGGUGACAAACCGGAGGAAGGUGGGGAUGACGUCAAAUCAUCAUGCCCCUUAUGACCUGGGCUACACACGUGCUACAAUGGAUGGAACAAAGGGCAGCGAAACCGCAAGGUCAAGCAAAUCCCAUAAAACCAUUCUCAGUUCGGAUUGCAGGCUGCAACUCGCCUGCAUGAAGCCGGAAUCGCUAGUAAUCGCGGAUCAGCAUGCCGCGGUGAAUACGUUCCCGGGCCUUGUACACACCGCCCGUCACACCACGAGAGUUGGUAACACCCGAAGUCGUAGAGGUAGCUUAUGCU